rnacentral:rRNA from 1 species
CUGAACGUCCAUGCCACCCUGAACAUGCCCGAUCUCGUCUGAUCUCGGAAGGUAAGCAGGGUCAGACCUGGUUAGUAUUUGGAUGGGAGGUCACCUAGAAAUAUCAGGUGCCGUAGG